rnacentral:lncRNA from 1 species
AUCUUUACUUCCACACUGUCCUUUUGUGGAAGGUAACCAUAAGGUUUUCAGAAACUUCUCCAAUUGUUACAGUAUUUUCUAGACAGGAAGAAAGGAAAAAAAAAAACAAACACCAUUAUGGAAUGGGGUCUUUGCCCAAAUGUAUCUAGGAAUUCCUGAGUUGGUUGAAAGUGUCAACAAACACUGUUUUCAUGGAGAACAAUGCCACAUUUACAUUAUAAAAGAGCUGGUAUAUCCUUUCCUCAGAUACAAGGCUGGCAUUCCCUAAAUAGCUUUGGCUGUCUCUUAGGGAGAUCACAGUUGGACCAAACUCUACAACAUUACCAUGAAAUGUCACUUGGAAAUGAUAUUUUUCUUUGCUCACCACUGAACAUUUUGAACUUGGGAAGCUCACGCUGACAACAGAGUUUCUCUCUCCUGUAGGUCAACCCUGGUUUAUUUGUUAAGCAGUAUUUGUGAAGGGCACAUGCUUCUAACAAUGACUCGCCAGCAUCUUUCUUACAUUAUAACCAAACCCAUAAAUCACUCAUUAUUUACUAAUUUAUUAAUUCAGCUUCCUUGUUUUCCCUGCUUGAAAGUAGUCGUUUUAAAAAGUAACCAACUGAUAAUUUUUAUGUGGAAAGAACUUGAUGUCUUAGUGACUUGCCCUGUCUCUGUGUUAAAGUAGCCUGACAAGAACAAGCUAAGGGAAGAAGCAUGUGUUUAGGCUCCCAGCUCAAGAGAUGAAUUCAUCAUCACAGAGACAUCCCAGCAGCAAGAGCCUGAGCAGCUGGUCACAGUGCAUGUGUGGUUAAGGAAAGGGUGGUACACAUGUGUGGUUAAGGAGAGGGUGGUACACGUGUGUGGUUAAGGAGAGGGUGGUACACAUGUGUGGUUAAGGAGACGGUGGUACACGUGUGUGGUUAAGGAGAGGGUGGUACACAUGUGUGGUUAAGGAGAGGGUGGUACGCGUGUGUGGUUAAGGAGAGGGUGGUACAAGCUGCUCCUCAGCUGGCUCGCUCCUUCUCUGCAGUCCAGGACACAGAUGCAGGGGAUGAUGUCACCUACCUUCAGGGUGGCUCAGAAGCUAACCUAAUCUAGAUAAUCCCUUAGCUUGUCUGCUAGUGGCCACUAGAUCCAAUCAAGUUUUGAUAGCCAAUGUAAAUGACCACACAUCAUUUUGAUAAUUGUCAUAGAACUACUAAAAACUUUGUUAUUAUAAAGUGUCGUGAAAUAGAUUCAUUUGGUCAUCUUAAAGUCUAAUUAGUUUCUCUGAACGCCUGGGUGCCUUUUGAGGCUGUUAAAUAAAACUUGUUGACCUUUUUUCCCCUAAAUGCAAUCUCAUAUUUCAAAUACGUCCUUUAUAAGCGUAUGAAACAUUGAUUGAUUUGAUGGCAUUUGGGUCUAAAAUUACUUCUUAGAUGUGGAAGAGAACAAGGCCUUGUUUUCGAAAGUUUCUGACCUAAUGGCUUUCUUCUCAAAAAGAAGGCAAAUUCAGAAUUAGAAAGGAGCUAUAGAUUUCAUUCUGACCUGCUCCAGACUGAAUGUUUAGAGCCUUCAGGAUGCCCCAGAUAAGGGUUUCAGAAUAAAACCAGCCACUGAGAUGAAUAAAUCUGGCCUGGCCCUGCUGUGCACCUGGCAGUGCACACACAGUCCAGCUGAGAAAGGAUGAAUGCGUGCAAUGAACCCAGCCGAGUUAGCGAUGGACUUCCAUCAUAGAGGAUGUGGGGAUGGCUUACUGUCUUGGAGAAGACAGAAAGCUGGGCUUGGGGACAGCAGGAAGCACUUGGAAUUUACAGAGAAUGUGUUUGAAUUGAAUUUUGGUAUAUAAUUAGGAAUUCAUCACCUAUUUGGGAUGGAAAUUAAAUAUUCAUCACGUAAUUUUGCAUCGAAUAAUACAGAAGAUAUCAGGAAGAGGAUUCAGAGGUGGGUGGAGAAUCUGAACAGUAGAUAGAGGC